GAUGAACGCUGGCGGCGUGCCUAACACAUGCAAGUCGAACGGAGCUGCUUUGAUGAGAUCUUCGGAUGGAUUUAAAACAGCUUAGUGGCGGACGGGUGAGUAACGCGUGGGUAACCUGCCUCACACUGGGGGAUAACAGUUAGAAAUAGCUGCUAAUACCGCAUAAGCGCACGGUUCCGCAUGGAACAGUGUGAAAAACUCCGGUGGUGUGAGAUGGACCCGCGUCUGAUUAGCCAGUUGGCGGGGUAACGGCCCACCAAAGCGACGAUCAGUAGCCGGCCUGAGAGGGUGAACGGCCACAUUGGGACUGAGACACGGCCCAAACUCCUACGGGAGGCAGCAGUGGGGAAUAUUGCACAAUGGGGGAAACCCUGAUGCAGCGACGCCGCGUGAGUGAAGAAGUAUUUCGGUAUGUAAAGCUCUAUCAGCAGGGAAGAAAGUGACGGUAC
rnacentral:rRNA from 1 species